rnacentral:snoRNA from 1 species
AGUUCAUGGUGCGGGCAACAUUAGAGCAAGUCUUUGUACCUCUGCCAAGCAUCGUACAUGCUCUCGUCAUCGAACUGCACAAAAUAAGAUAUAUCAUUUCUCAAUCU